CCUACGGGAGGCUGCAGUGGGGAAUAUUGGACAAUGGGCGAAAGCCUGAUCCAGCCAUGCCGCGUGUGUGAAGAAGGCCUUCGGGUUGUAAAGCACUUUCAGUGGGGAAGAAAGCCUUGGGGCUAAUACCCUCGAGGAAGGACAUCACCCACAGAAGAAGCACCGGCUAACUCCGUGCCAGCAGCCGCGGUAAUACGGAGGGUGCGAGCGUUAAUCGGAAUUACUGGGCGUAAAGCGCGCGUAGGCGGUCUGAUAAGCCGGUUGUGAAAGCCCCGGGCUCAACCUGGGAACGGCAUCCGGAACUGUCAGGCUAGAGUGCAGGAGAGGAAGGUAGAAUUCCCGGUGUAGCGGUGAAAUGCGUAGAGAGCGGGAGGAAUACCAGUGGCGAAGGCGGCCUUCUGGACUGACACUGACGCUGAGGUGCGAAAGCGUGGGUAGCAAACAGGAUUAGAUACCCGAGUAGUC
rnacentral:rRNA from 1 species